CCAUAGUAAGUACAUUCAAAAGGUUUCUCUCCAGUACAUAUUCUUUCAUGAUGAUGAAGCCUACAGAAUUGUGCAAAGGCUUCACCAUAUUAAAUACAUUCCCAAGGUUUCUGUCUUAGUGUUUCCAUUGCUAGGAAUAGACAUCAUGACCAAGGCAACUCUCAUAAAAGCAAACCUUUAAUUGGGGCUGGCUUACAGUUUCAGAGGUUUAGUCCAUUUUCAUCAUAGCAGGAAGCACAGCAGCAGCAUGCAGGCAGACAUGAUGCUGGAGAAGGAGCUGAGAGUUCUGCAUUUUGAUCCAAAGGCAGCCAGGAAGAAACUGUCUUCCAGGGAGGGAAUAGGAGGGUCUGUUUUGCACUUGGUGGAGCUUCAGAGUCCACCCCCAGAGAUAUCCACUUCCUCCAACAAGGUCACACCUCUGAAUAGAGUCACUCCCUGUCACAAGCAUAUUCAAACUCCCACAUUCCACUCACUGGCCCCCAUAAGCAUGUUGGAGUACAGGAAUGUAUGAGGACCAUACUUAAACAUGCAUAAUGAAAAAUACACGAGGUCCUACUGCAAAAGUCCCCAUCAUCUAUACCAGUCUCAAAAAUGUUAAAAGUCCAAAGGUCAAAGUCUCUUCUGAGAUUCAUUCAAUGUAACUGUAAUCCCCUAAAAAAGAAAAUCUAAAAGCAGAUCAUAUACUACCACUUCAAAACAUAGACUUUACCAUUCCUAAAUGUCAUCAUGAGGAAAUAGUGGACCAAAACAAAACCAAAAGCCAGCUUGGAAAUCUCCAAACUGCAUCUCCAUGAGUGAUGUUAAAGCAUUCUUCAGAUCUCCAACUCCUUUCUGCUGUAUUCACUGCAGCACAAUUCUUUCUCUUUGGCUGGUUUUCCUGAGCAGGUACCCCACAGCUCUGACAUCUCAAAGAUCUUGGGGUCUCGAAGGAAACCUCAGUUUCUUGUUCCAAUGUCUUGGAUCCACACAUGAUCUUCUGCAGUCCUCCAGAGAGAUAAGGUCACUUCUCUAGCUCUGACCUCUGUAUCACUCUAAGCUCUGGUUGACUCCGCUCUACUGGGCUGUUCUUUCUGCUCAUCCCAUUGGACUGGCAUCUUCAAUAUGUUGGGUUCUUCUCCUGCAACUAGGCUUCACUGAUAGUCUCACUUAUGCUCCCUUCACUGGACCAAGCCUCAGUUGCUCCUCAUGACACUGUCAUGCCUUCAAAACCAGUACCACCUGGAUGAUUCUUACAUGUGACCAAGUUCUGUUGUGUCCGGCCAGCAGACCACAACCUGGGUUCUAGCCUGGAAAGGCAUUUUGGAAACCUAGAAGAGAAGAGGGGCUAGGUGGCGAGAGAGAAAGAAAUGUAGCCAAGACAGUUAUUCUGAUCAAAGCUCAAAUUUUAUUGUUGCAACACUAGUUAUGAAGGAAGGGGGAGGAGACCCGAUUCCCGCCGAAUAAUCUCUGGUCCAGUAGAAAGGUGAGCACACAUGUUGCUCUGCAGGUUCCAGCAGUGGGCGUGGCAGAACGAAUGAGCAGGAAGCUCCACCCCUGAGCAAGCAGGUUUCAGGCUGGGGGAGGGGAGACUACAAAGUUCAGCUGCAACACAAGGUACAAUCCUGGCUCUCUCUGGAACACAGUUUCUUUGUCCUCUCAGAAAACAGUUCCUAGAAGAUUUCACCUCAAUGAUGCUGGUCUCUUCUUCAUCACUUCUAAUUUCUCAGCCACAGCUUACAAGCUUCAAUUUUCCCAGUAGUCCCUUCUAUUCUUACCUCUAAAGUCAGAGCCACAUGGUCAAAGCUGCUGAGUUCUGCUGCUUUCUGGGCCUGGGAAAUGGCCUCUUCUAUUACAUUAUCACCAGUUUUCUGUUCUCCAACUCCUUUACUUCCUCAGCUUGGCUGUCCUUGAACUUGCUCUAUAUAUUGACCUUGAACUCAGAAAUCUGCAAGGCUCUGUAUCCACAGGCCUAGACCUAAGAAUUUCUUCACCUUUAACUUGCUCUGUAUCAGGAUGGACUUGAACUCAGAGAUCUGCUUGAUGCUCAUCUCCUAGGGUUCAAGGGCAUGUACCACCAUGCCUGGACCUAUGCUUUCCACUUUAGAUCUUAUAUUGAAAACCAAGAGCAGCAAUCACAAUCCAUCCCUUGUCAAUUUGAUACAUACUUGUAUCUCCUUAUGUCCAUAUGUAAACAAUAACCAGGUUUCUCUCCUCUGUGUUCUUUUAUGUCAUUGUAGAUGACUGUGAGUUGCAAAGGCUUUACCACAUUGAUUACAUUCAUAAGGUUUCUGUCCAGUAUAUGUUCUUUUAUGUCUUUGGAGAUUAGUCUUACAUCCAAAGUCUUUACAACAGUGAUUGCAUUCUAAGGUGUUUUUCUAAAAUGUGUUCUUUCAUGUACUUGGAGAUGACUGUGUCUUGCAAAUGCUUUACCACAUUGAUUGCAUUCAUAAGGUUUCUCUCCAGUAUGUGUUCUUUUAUGACACUGUAGAUUAUUUUGAUGUGUAAAUGCUUUACCACACUGAUCACACUGAUAAGGUUUCUCUCCAGUAUGCGUUCUUUUAUGACAUUGGAGACUAUUGUGAUGUACAAAGGCUUUACCACAUUGAUUACACUCAUGAGGUUUUUCUCCAGAAUGUGUUCUUUUAUGUAUAUUGAGACUAGACUGCCAUGCAAAGGCUUUACCACAUUGAUCACACUCAUAAGGUUUCUCUCCAGAAUGUGUUCUUUUAUGUAUAUUGAGACUAGACUGCCAUGCAAAGGCUUUACCACAUUGAUCACACUCAUAAGGUUUCACUCCAGUAUGUGUUAUUUUAUGAUAUUCAAGACUACUGUGUUCUGAAAAUGCUUUAUCACAUUGAUUACAGUGAUAAGGUUUCUCUCCAGUAUGUGUUCUUUUAUGAUAUUGGAGACUACUGUGAUGUCCAUAGGCUUUACCACACUGAUUACAUUUAUAGGGCUUCUCUCCAGUAUGACUUCUAAUAUGAUAUUGGAGAUUACUGCGUUGUGAAAAGGCUUUACCACAUUGAUUACAUUCAUAAGGUUUCUCUCCAGUAUUUGUUCUUUUAUGUAUUUGGAGAUGAUUGUCACUUGCAAAGGCUUUACCACACUGGUUACGUUCAUACGGUUUCUCUCCAAUAUGAAUUCUUU
rnacentral:lncRNA from 1 species